GAAAAGCGAGCCAGGAAAUGGCAGGGCGAGGGUCGUGACCUGCAAGUCUUUCCGAGCCUCUGUCUACGACAUUCCCUACAGAUGGUGCACACGCUCAGUUUUUGGGUGGAACACCCCCCGGACACGACAAGAUCAUCGGGACUCUGGGGAACGUGAUAUCACGGAGGCCUAAGUCCUUGACUUCUCAGCUCCAGUUUCCACGACCCCUCGGAAGCAGCCUUGCCGUAGUAAAACCACAUGGUGACAUAGCCCACUCCACAGCCAGCAGGGGAAGUGGCCAGUCAAAAGCCAGAAGUCCCGCCUUCUCUACGAACCGGUCCAGAAAAUGACUCCCAGCGUCCCUUUGGCCCACCCAUAAAUGCUCUUCUGGGUUUUCA
ensembl:lincRNA 1810019N24Rik RIKEN cDNA 1810019N24 gene